GGGUAUGAGCCAAUGGUCUCGAUUGACAAGACUGGCAGAUAAGAUGCAUAACUGUUUAAUUCAGAUAAUGAGAAUCCAUGUGGCCUCAGCCCCUCAUUUGAUGUGAGCCCUAACUGUUGAGCAGCUGCAACCGCACACCACCACGAUCCCGACCUUGCCAUCCUCCUCCUCCUGCUGGUUGUGCUUGUCCCAGCCACCAUUGGUCGCUCAGUGAGUUAUAUACCACAUUUUAGCUAGUUUGAUGGUACUCACUGGUGUAGCUGCACACUUUAUUUUAAUUUUUAUAAUAUAUGCCUUUGAAAUAGGGAG